rnacentral:rRNA from 1 species
UACGUAAGGGGCAAGCGUUGUCCGGAAUCAUUGGGCGUAAAGAGCGUGUAGGCGGCCCGGUAAGUCCGCUGUGAAAGUCGGGGCUCAACCCUCGAAUGCCGGUGGAUACUGUCGGGCUAGAGUGCGGAAGAGGCGAGUGGAAUUCCUGGUGUAGCGGUGAAAUGCGCAGAUAUCAGGAGGAACACCAAUUGCGAAGGCAGCUCGCUGGGACGUAACUGACGCUGAGACGCGAAAGCGUGGGGAGCAAACAGG